GAUGAACGCUGGCGGCGUGCCUAAUACAUGCAAGUCGAGCGAACAGACGAGGAGCUUGCUCCUCUGACGUUAGCGGCGGACGGGUGAGUAACACGUGGAUAACCUACCUAUAAGACUGGGAUAACUUCGGGAAACCGGAGCUAAUACCGGAUAAUAUAUUGAACCGCAUGGUUCAAUAGUCAAAGACGGUUUUGCUGUCACUUAUAGAUGGAUCCGCGCCGCAUUAGCUAGUUGGUAAGGUAACGGCUUACCAAGGCAACGAUGCGUAGCCGACCUGAGAGGGUGAUCGGCCACACUGGAACUGGGACACGGUCCAGACUCCUACGGGAGGCAGCCGUAGGGAAUCUUCCGCAAUGGGCGAAAGCCUGACGGAGCAACGCCGCGUGAGUGAUGAAGGUCUUCGGAUCGUAAAACUCUGUUAUUAGGGAAGAACAAAUGUGUAAGUAACUAUGCACGUCUUGACGGUACCUAAUCAGAAAGCCACGGCUAACUACGUG
rnacentral:rRNA from 1 species